CAAAAGAUAAGCUAAAUUAUAAGCUAAUGGGCCCAUACCCCGUCUAUGAGAAUAUACCUCUCUUUUUA
rnacentral:tRNA from 1 species